GCAUCGGUGGUUUAGUGGUAAAAUUAGCCGUUGCCAUCCAUCUUGGACAGUUUCGGCUAGCCCCGGGUUCGGUAAGUUUAGAUCGUCCACUUCAUUCGAUCCAUUGUUCUAACAACACGAUAGAUUCCCGGCCGAUGCA